rnacentral:rRNA from 1 species
CUUGAACGCUGGCGGAAUGCUUUACACAUGCAAGUCGAGCGGCAGCGCGGGGCAACCUGGCGGCGAGCGGCGAACGGGUGAGUAAUGCAUCGGAACAUGUCCAUGUCGUGGGGGAUAGCCCGGCGAAAGCCGGAUUAAUACCGCAUACGCUCGAGAGAGGAAAGCCGGGGACCGCAAGGCCUGGCGCGAUUGGGUUGGCCGAUGUCCGAUUAGCUAGUUGGUGAGGUAAAGGCUUACCAAGGCGAUGAUCGGUAGCUGGUCUGAGAGGAUGAUAAGCCACACUGGGACUGAGACACGGCCCAGACUCCUACGGGAGGCAGCAGUGGGGAAUUUUGGACAAUGGGGGCAACCCUGAUCCAGCCAUUCCGCGUGAGUGAAGAAGGCCUUCGGGUUGUAAAGCUCUUUUGUCCGGAGCGAAACGGUUGCGGUGAAUAUCCGCGACUACUGACGGUACCGGAAGAAUAAGCACCGGCUAACUACGUGCCAGCCGCCGCCGUAAUAC